CAGUGGGGAAUAUUGGACAAUGGGCGAAAGCCUGAUCCAGCAAUGCCGCGUGUGUGAAGAAGGUCUUCGGAUUGUAAAGCACUUUUGGCAGGGACGAUGAUGACGGUACCUGCAGAAUAAGCCCCGGCUAACUUCGUGCCAGCAGCCGCGGUAAUACGAAGGGGGCUAGCGUUGCUCGGAAUGACUGGGCGUAAAGGGCGCGUAGGCGGCAUGUACAGUCAGAAGUGAAAUUCCUGGGCUCAACCUGGGGACUGCUUUUGAUACGUGCAGGCUAGAGUGAGGAAGAGGGUUGUGGAAUUUCCAGUGUAGAGGUGAAAUUCGUAGAUAUUGGAAAGAACACCGGUGGCGAAGGCGGCAACCUGGUCCUUUACUGACGCUGAGGCGCGAAAGCGUGGGGAGCAAACAGGAUUAGA
rnacentral:rRNA from 1 species